AAAGAGUUCAUUGACAUUGCC
rnacentral:piRNA from 1 species